rnacentral:sRNA from 1 species
GCCUGACAUGGUAGUGCAUGCCUGUAAUCCCAGCAACUCUGGAGGCUGAGGCAGGAGGAUCGUGAGUUCAAAGCCCAUAUCAGCAAUUUAGUGAGGCACUUAGCAACUCAGUGAGACCCUGCCUCUA